GGGUCAGUCUGAGCCGCAUCGGUAGCCAGCGGGGAACGCGGCGACAUGCGACGCGGGUUUAGGACAAAGAGGGGAUAAUGGGGAGUGGUUUCGGAAGGAGACCAGAAGUGUUGUCUCCGACGACAGCAGCGACGACGACCACCACCAACAGAGGCGGCACUCGGUGAUCCAACGACGAGAGGGACUGCGUAGAGGAGAGGCACCAGCAACGGCUCUUCACCACCGACAACCCGCAGCACAGCGAUCGUCACAACCAUGAAGACCAAGUCCUAGGAAAUUGGGUGUUCAACACGGGGCGCCAACUCCAUUUAGGACUCCUGCUGUACGUACCCUCAGAACCCUCAUCGUAGAAGUGGCAAAAGUGAAGUGCCUUGAAUGUGGAUCACAGGAAAUCCUGGCACAAAACUCUUGGAUCAUGUCAACAUGAAAUGAUGGGCACCACCAAGUAGAACUUAAACUCUCUAUGAGAGAACCAGACAUCGAUUAAAAGGGAAUUCUGAUUGCGGUAGCGGAUCUCAAUGGCUCGUACAAGAGCCAAAACCAUAACAUCGAAACACGAAACGUGGCCACGAUCAAGAAACGUUAUAUAUUGAUAUACUUAAUGUACAGCACCUACAGGAAGCUUUAUCUCCUUUGAGA
rnacentral:rRNA from 1 species